GUGUUCGCUUCGGCAGCACAUACACUAAAAUUGGAACUAUACAGAGAAGAUUAGCAUGGCCCCUGUGCAAGGAUGACAUGCAAAUUCAUUCCAUUAAAAACCAACAA
ensembl:snRNA U6 U6 spliceosomal RNA